rnacentral:rRNA from 1 species
UACGUAGGGGGCAAGCGUUGUCCGGAAUCAUUGGGCGUAAAGCGCGUGUAGGCGGCCCGAUAAGUCCGCUGUGAAAGUCCAGGGCUCAACCCUGGAAUGCCGGUGGAUACUGUCGGGCUCGAGUCCGGAAGAGGCGAGUGGAAUUCCUGGUGUAGCGGUGAAAUGCGUAGAUAUCAGGAGGAACACCGGUGGCGAAGGCGGCUAUCUGGACAGAAACUGACGCUGAGGCGCGAAAGCUAGGGGAGCAAACAGG